UGCAAGUCUGGUGCCAGCAGCCGCGGUAAUUCCAGCUCCAAUAGCGUAUAUUAAAGUUGUUGCAGUUAAAAAGCUCGUAGUUGAAACUUGGGCCUGGCUGGCGGGUCCGCCUCACCGCGUGCACUCGUCCGGCCGGGCCUUCCUUCUGAAGAACCUCAUGCCCUUCACUGGGCGUGUUGGGGAAUCAGGACUUUUACUUUGAAAAAAUUAGAGUGUUCAAAGCAGGCCUUUGCUCGAAUACGUUAGCAUGGAAUAAUAAAAUAGGGCGUGCGUUUCUAUUUUGUUGGUUUCUAAAGACGCCGCAAUGAUUAACAGGAACAGUCGGGGGCAUCAGUAUUCAGUUGUCAGAGGUGAAAUUCUUGGAUUUACUGAAGACUAACUACUGCGAAAGCAUUUGCCAAGGAUGUUUUCAUUAAUCAGUGAACGAAAGUUAGGGGAUCGAAGACGAUCAGAUACCGUCGUAGUCUUAACCGUAAACUAUGCCGACUAGGGAUCGGGCGAUGUUCUUUUUCUGACUCGCUCGGCACCUUACGAGAAAUCAAAGUUUUUGGGUUCUGGGGGGAUUAUGGUCGCAAGGCUGAAACUUAAAGGAAUUGACGGAAG
rnacentral:rRNA from 1 species